GUAUAAGUUGUUACGAGCACACGGUGGAUGCCUUGGCAUCAGGAGCUGAUGAAGGACGUGGAAAUCUGCGAUAAGCCUCGGGGAGCUGAUAAACGAGCUGUGAUCCGAGGGUCUCCGAAUGGGGUAACCCGGCUGCGUAUCAUGCGUGGUCACUCGUAUCUGAAUUCAUAGGGUGCGAGGAGGAACGUGGGGAAGUGAAACAUCUCAGUACCCAUAGGAAGAGAAAACAACAGUGAUUCCGUGAGUAGUGGCGAGCGAAAGCGGAUGGUGGCUAAACCGGUUGUGUGUGAUACCUGGCGAGGGUUGCAUGAUCGGGGUUGUGGGAUGCGUUGUUCCUGGGGUCGCCACCCUGGGCGCUGUGGCGUGGUGGUAGU
rnacentral:rRNA from 1 species